CUUGGUCAUUUAGAGGAAGUAAAAGUCGUAACAAGGUCUCCGUUGGUGAACCAGCGGAGGGAUCAUUACCGAGUUUACAACUCCCAAACCCCUGUGAACAUACCUAUACGUUGCCUCGGCGGAUCAGCCCGCGCCCCGUAAAACGGGACGGCCCGCCCGAGGACCCUAAACUCUGUUUUUAGUGGAACUUCUGAGUAAAACAAACAAAUAAAUCAAAACUUUCAACAACGGAUCUCUUGGUUCUGGCAUCGAUGAAGAACGCAGCAAAAUGCGAUAAGUAAUGUGAAUUGCAGAAUUCAGUGAAUCAUCGAAUCUUUGAACGCACAUUGCGCCCGCCAGUAUUCUGGCGGGCAUGUCUGUUCGAGCGUCAUUUCAACCCUCAAGCUCAGCUUGGUGUUGGGACUCGCGGUAACCCGCGUUCCCCAAAUCGAUUGGCGGUCACGUCGAGCUUCCAUAGCGUAGUAAUCAUACACCUCGUUACUGGUAAUCGUCGCGGCCACGCCGUUAAACCCCAACUUCUGAAUGUUGACCUCGGAUCAGGUAGGAAUACCCGCUGAACUUAAG
rnacentral:rRNA from 1 species